UGAUGCCCGGCUUCCAGGAAAAGCCUCUAAGCAUCAGGUGACAUUGAAUCGUACCCCAAACCGACACAGGUGGUCAGGUAGAGAAUACUCAGGCGCUUGAGAGAACUCGGGUGAAGGAACUAGGCAAAAUGGUGCCGUAACUUCGGGAGAAGGCACGCUGGCGGUAGGUGAGGGGCUUUGCGCCCGGAGCCGAAGCCAGUCGCAGAGACCAGCUGGCUGCAACUGUUUAUUAAAAACACAGCACUGUGCAAACACGUAAGUGGACGUAUACGGUGUGACGCCUGCCCGGUGCUGGAAGGUUAAUUGAUGGGGUUAGCCGCAAGGCGAGGCUCUUGAUCGAAGCCCCAGUAAACGGCGGCCGUAACUAUAACGGUCCUAAGGUAGCGAAAUUCCUUGUCGGGUAAGUUCCGACCUGCACGAAUGGCGUAAUGAUGGCCAGGCUGUCUCCACCCGAGACUCAGUGAAAUUGAACUCGCUGUGAAGAUGCAGUGUCCCCGCGGCAAGACGGAAAGACCCCGUGAACCUUUACUAUAGCUUGACACUGAACAUGGAGCCUUGAUGUGUAGGAUAGGUGGGAGGCCUGGAAGUGCGGACGCCAGUC
rnacentral:rRNA from 1 species